rnacentral:tRNA from 1 species
GGAGAGGUGUCCGAGUGGUCGAAGGAGCACGAUUGGAAAUCGUGUAGGCGAGAAAUCGUCUCGAGGGUUCGAAUCCCUCUCUCUCCG